rnacentral:lncRNA from 1 species
UGCUCUCUACUUGCCAUACUGCUCUUUUGAGCAGUGUAUUUUUAAAGUGAGUGUUGAAAUUGCUACAGAUAUGUCUUAAGCAGUAUCGCUGAUAGGUACGUGGUGGACUCCAUCUAAUAGAUUCAUCUGCAAUGAUAUUUAAUAUAUCUGGAUGUCUGUCAGAAAUUAGACAUAUUCCAUUUCUAUCUUGUGCGAUAUAUGUCCUG